UGAACUGGAACUGCUGAGUGAAUUAGGUAGUUUCAUGUUGUUGGG
rnacentral:precursor_RNA from 1 species